rnacentral:rRNA from 1 species
CAAGUCGAACGCGUGUAGCAAUACACGAGUGGCGCACGGGUGAGUAACGCGUGGAUAUCUGCCUUUUGGUUCGGAAUAACUCCGGGAAACUGGAGCUAAUACCGGAUGGUUCCUUCGGGAUAAAGAUUUAUCGCCAAAAGAUGAGUCCGCGUACGAUUAGCUAGUUGGUGAGGUAAUGGCUCACCAAGGCGACGAUCGUUAGCUGGUCUGAGAGGACGAUCAGCCACACUGGGACUGAGACACGGCCCAGACUCCUACGGGAGGCAGCAGUGGGGAAUAUUGGACAAUGGGGGCAACCCUGAUCCAGCCAUGCCGCGUGAGUGAUGAAGGCCUUCGGGUUGUAAAGCUCUUUUGGCGGGGACGAUGAUGACGGUACCCGCAGAAUAAGCCCCGGCUAACUUCGUGCCAGCAGCCGCGGUAAGACGAAGGGGGCUAGCGUUGUUCGGAAUUACUGGGCGUAAAGCGAGUGUAGGUGGUUGUUCAAGUUGGAUGUGAAAGCCUUGAGCUCAACUCAAGAAAUGCAUUCAGGACUGAGCGACUAGAGGACCGGAGAGGAUAGUGGAAUUCCCAGUGUAGUGGUGAAAUACGUAGAGAUUGGGAAGAACACCAGUGGCGAAGGCGG